rnacentral:rRNA from 1 species
UACGUAGGGUGCGAGCGUUAAUCGGAAUUACUGGGCGUAAAGCGUGCGCAGGCGGUUUUGUAAGCCAGAUGUGAAAUCCCCAGGCUCAACCUGGGAACUGCAUCCGAUACUGGAUGGCUUGAAUUCGGGAGAGGGAUGCAGAAUUCCAGGUGUAGCGGUGAAAUGCGUAGAUAUCUGGAGGAAUACCGGUGGCGAAGGCGGCAUCCUGGACCGACAUUGACGCUGAGGCGCGAAAGCCAGGGGAGCAAACGGG